UAUCUCUAUAGUCAUGGGUAUGAUUUUAUGUUUCUUAAAUCGCAUCUCUUUUUUAACACUUCGUAUUUGUUAUGAUCUAAUUUGAUCUGAUUUGUUUUUGUUUUUUCUGGUUCUGGAUUUUAAUUUGCAGGGAAGGUUAAGUUCAGGAUCCAUGGUAAUAGAUUCUUUUUUUUUUUAUUCUCUCAAUUGUAAGAAUUUAUUUUGGUUUGAUCUUGGUGAUUAAAACCUAAUCGAUGUUGGUGGAAAUGGAAAACUAGGAUUUUGAAGGAUGGGAAGGUUGGUGGCCAAAGUGGCUCUGUAGAGAGACGAUGUUGAGCUCAUCUCCGUUCAUGAUCCCUUCAUUUCCGUUGAAUACAUGAUGAGAAAUAGAAUUUCAGGGAAGGAUGAAGAAAAAUUGAAUCAAGAAGAGAGGAUUUCAGAAGAGAAUUACAGAUUGAUGAGAACUAUAGAUAGAAUCAAGAAACAAAACGGGGAUUGAGGCAUUUUGCAAAACGAAAAUGGAAGUAGAGAAAAGAAACUCAAUUUCAAAAACCCAAGAAGAACAGAGAAAACGGAAAAUAAUUUCAAAGAAAGGAACAAGAAACUUGUAAUUCCUUUUUUAAUAGCAAGCUUUCUCUACCAUGGUUGAGAA